CACGCCGUAAACUAUGGAUGCUAGCUGUUAGAAGUAUCGACCCUUCUAGUAGCGAAGCUAACGCGUUAAGCAUCCCGCCUGUGGAGUACGGUCGCAAGACUAAAACAUAAAGGAAUUGACGGGGACCCGCACAAGCGGUGGAGCGUGUUGUUUAAUUCGAUGGUAAGCGAAGAACCUUACCCAGGCUUGACAUCCUUGGAAGCACUACGAAAGUAGAGUGUGCCUUCGGGAACCAAGUGACAGGUGA
rnacentral:rRNA from 1 species